GUCCCGUCUUGAAACACGGACCAAGGAGUGUAUUGCUAUGGCAAGUCAUUGAUAUUGUUAAUAUCAAAGGCGUAAUGAAAAUAAAUAAUAUCUCAGAUCUUGUUAUUAUUUAUAAUAAGCGCAUGAGAGACGUAAAUAUAUGAUUUAUUCAUUUUUUGCAGUUAUAGCCAUAGUAGUGCGACCCGAAAGAUGGUGAACUAUACUAGUGCAGGGUGAAGUCAGAAGAAAUUCUGAUGGAAGCUCGAAGCGGUCCUGACGUGCAAAUCGGUCGUCUGACAUUAGUAUAGGGGCGAAAGACUAAUCGAACCAUCUAGUAGCUGGUUCCGGCCGAAGUUUCCCCCAGGAUAGCUGAAACUAUUAUACAGAUACAUCCGGUAAAGCUAAUGUUUAGAGGAAUAGGGGAUAAUAUAUCCUUUAUCUAUUUACAAACUAUAAAUGGGUGUGAUAUUAUGAUUACUUAAUUGAAUCAUAAUUUCGAUUGUAUAGUUUCAAGUGGGCCAUUUUUGGUAAGCAGAACUGGCGACGUGGGAUGAACCAAAAGUAUUGUUAAAGUGCCUAAAUUUUUGCUCAUCAGACCCCAUAAAAAGUGUUGUUUGAUCCUGACAGCAGGGCGGUGGCCAUGGAAGUCGGAAUCCGCUAAGGAUCGUGUAACAACUCACCUGCCGAAUCAAGCAGCCUUGAAAAUGGAUGGCGCUUGAGCAAAAUACUUAGACAAUACCAUAUAUUUUAAUGUAAUAAUAUAAAUAUAUGUGUAGGCUGGCGUAAUAAUAGCAUUGAAGGUUAUAAGAGUAAUCUUGACUGGAGCUGUUAUUAGUGCAGAUCUUGGUGAUAGUAGCAAAUACACAAGUGAGAAUCUUGUGGACCGAAGUGGAAAAGGGUUUCACGUCAACAUCAUUUGACUGUGAGUUAGUCGAUCCUAAGCUAAAAUUGAAAAAUUUAUAUAUAUUAUAUUUUAUAAAGCGAAAGGGAAAUAGAUUAAUAUUUCUAUACUAUUUAUGGAGAUAAUAUAGGAUAAUAAACUAUAUUAUGCGUGGUAACACAAAUGAAAUUAACUACAAUAUAACAAGUUUUGGAUAGAGAUAUCUUCUCUAUUUAAGUUAUUAAAUCUAUGAAAAUUGCUCAGCAAGAGAUAUAGAUGAAAUUAUUAACGUAGAGUACUAACAUUUUGUUGGUAUCCAAAGUGCUUGUUAUAUUACUUAAAAAGUUAAUGGAAGCAUAAUAAAUUUCAUAAAAUAAUCGUACCCAUAUCCGCAACAGGUUUCCAAGAUGUUUAGUCUCUGGUCGAUGAAAUAAUGUAGGUAAGGGAAGUCGGCAAAAUAGAUUCGUAACUUUGGGAAAAGAAUUGGCUCUUGAGAUGUAGAUAUUCGGAUAUUAUGUAUCUAAUGGUUAUUUUAAUAAAUAUAAAAUGAAUACUAGUAAUAGUUAUUUGAUUUAUAUUUAUUAAUAAUUAUUAACAUAAUAUUUACAUAUAUUUGUAAUAUUAAUAUAUUAACGAAUAUCAAUAUAUAUACAUUAAUCAAGAACUGGCACGGACAAGAGGAAUCCGACUGUCUAAUUAAAACAGAGGAGACAGAUGAUGCUAGAUGCAUGUAGACUGUGUCUGAUUUCUGCCCAGUGCAAUGAAUGUUAUCAUUGGGAAACCAAUUGAAGCUCUUGUAAACGGCGGGAGUAACUAUGACUCUCUUAAGGUAGCCAAAUGCCUCGUCGGGUAAUUUCCGACGCGCACGAAUGGAUUAACGAGAUUCCUACUGUCCCUAUCUACCAUUCAGCGAAAUCACAGCCAAGGGAACGGGCUUGGCAAAAACAGCGGGGAAAGAAGACCCUGUUGAGCUUGACUCUAGCUAGGCAUUGUGAAGUGUCAUAUGAGGUGUAGAAUAGGUGGGAGUUAUAUUAUUAUUAUAACCUUGUUGUACCACUACUUAUAUUGAUAUUUUACUUAGUUGAUUAUAUGGAAAUUUUAUAUUUUAAUUAAUAUAAUAAUUGUUGUAUUAAAUUAAUAUCUUUGAGAUAUUUAAUAAUCCACGUCAAUGACCAUGUCUGGCGGGGAGUUUGACUGGGGCGGUACAUCUAUCAAACUGUAACGUAGGUGUCCUAAGGCAAACUCAAAGAGGACAGAAACCUCUUGUAGAGUAAAAGGGCAAAAGUUUGCUUGAUCAUGAUUUUCAGUACGAAUACAGACCCUGAAAGGGUGGCCUAUCGAUCCUUUUGUAUUAGUAUGUUUCUAAAAAGAGGUGCCAGAAAAGUUACCACAGGGAUAACUGGCUUGUGGCAGCCAAGAGUCCAUAUCGACGUUGCUUUUUGAUCCUUCGAUGUCGGCUCUUCCUAUCAUUGCGAAGCAGAUUUCGCCAAGCGUUGGAUUGUUCACCCACUAAUAGGGAACGUGAGCUGGGUUUAGACCGUCGUGAGACAGGUUAGUUUUAUCCUACUGUUGAUUUAUUAAAGUUGUUGAAAUAGUAAUCCAGCUUAGUACGAGAGGAACCGUUAGAUCAGCUAAUUGGUAUAUAAUGUUAUUGGAAACAAUAAUGCAUUGAAUCUACCAGCUGCAGAAUUAUGACUGAACGCCUCUAAGUCAG
rnacentral:rRNA from 1 species